CCUACGGGAGGCAGCAGUGGGGAAUAUUGCGCAAUGGGGGAAACCCUGACGCAGCAACGCCGCGUGAGUGAGGAAGGACUUCGGUCUGUAAAGCUCUGUUAAUGUGGAAAAAUGGUAGUUGGUCUAAUAGGCCGAUUAUUUGAUGGUACACAUAGAGGAAGCACCGGCUAACUUCGUGCCAGCAGCCGCGGUAAUACGAAGGGUGCAAGCGUUGUUCGGAUUUAUUGGGCGUAAAGCGCGCGUAGGCGGACCUGUAAGUCAGAUGUGAAAUCUCGGGGCUCAACCUCGAAACUGCGUCUGAAACUGCAGGUCUAGAAUCUCGGAGGGGGAAGGGGAAUUUCGCAUGUAGGGGUAAAAUCCGUAGAUAUGCGAAGGAACACCAGAGGCGAAGGCGCCUUCCUGGACGAGUAUUGACGCUGAGGCGCGAAAGCGUGGGGAUCAAACAGGAUUAGAUACCCUGGUAGUCCACGCUGUAAACUAUGAACACUAGGUAUUGGAGGAUUUGACCCCUUCAGUGCCGUAGCUAACGCGUUAAGUGUUCCGCCUGGGAAGUACGGUCGCAAGCUAAAACUCAAAUGAUGAGNGNGAGAGNGCGAGACGACGACGAGGAGAGG
rnacentral:rRNA from 1 species